rnacentral:pre_miRNA from 1 species
GGUAUAGGCCGAGUAGUAUUCCAAAGAAGCUUCAGAUAAUAGCACGUUGCAUACUGAGCAUCAGAAGCAAUUUACUCUUGAUCCCAGUUCACGAAUCCUCUUUUGCCAGAUUCACGCCACUAAAGAUUCAUUGGGACAUGAAUGUGGCAGAAAAGGAUUCGUUUAUUGAGAUAAGCUUAGAGUAAUUUUCUAUGGCACUGGCGCGACGCACUCUUAAGCAAGCCACUUUCAGCAUACUACUCUUCCAAUGCC